rnacentral:rRNA from 1 species
GACGAACGCUGGCGGCGUGCUUAACACAUGCAAGUCGAGCGGUAAGGCCCUUUCGGGGGUACACGAGCGGCGAACGGGUGAGUAACACGUGGGUGACCUGCCCUCAGCUCUGGGAUAAGCCUGGGAAACCGGGUCUAAUACUGGAUAUGACUCCAUGACGCAUGUUGUGGGGUGGAAAGCCUUGUGCGGCUGAGGAUGGGCCCGCGGCCUAUCAGCUUGUUGGUGGGGUGANGGCCUACCAAGGCGACGACGGGUAGCCGGCCUGAGAGGGCGACCGGCCACACUGGGACUGAGACACGGCCCAGACUCCUACGGGAGGCAGCAGUGGGGAAUCUUGCGCAAUGGGCGAAAGCCUGACGCAGCGACGCCGCGUGAGGGAUGACGGCCUGGUGU